rnacentral:rRNA from 1 species
GGGUUGUGAGGUUAAGCGACUAAGCGUACACGGUGGAUGCCCUGGCAGUCAGAGGCGAUGAAGGGCGUGCUAAUCUGCGAUAAGCGCCGGUAAGGUGAUAUGAACCGUUAUAACCGGCGAUACCCGAAUGGGGAAACCCAGUGUGACUCGUCACACUAUCAUUAACUGAAUCCAUAGGUUAAUGAGGCGAACCGGGGGAACUGAAACAUCUAAGUACCCCGAGGAAAAGAAAUCAACCGAGAUUCCCCCAGUAGCGGCGAGCGAACGGGGAGGAGCCCAGAGCCUGAAUCAGCAUGUGUGUUAGUGGAAGCGUCUGGAAAGGCGUGCGAUACAGGGUGACAGCCCCGUACACAAAAGCGCAUGUGCUGUGAGCUCGAUGAGUAGGGCGGGACACGUGGUAUCCUGUCUGAAUAUGGGGGGACCAUCCUCCAAGGCUAAAUACUCCUGACUGACCGAUAGUGAACCAGUACCGUGAGGGAAAGGCGAAAAGAACCCCGGCGAGGGGAGUGAAAAAGAACCUGAAACCGUGUACGUACAAGCAGUGGGAGCCCCACCACUAAGCCAGUGGUGAACUCCACAUACGCAUCCUUUGCUGAGGAUACGGUUAACGGAGCACAAGCGACGUUCAACCUCAAAAGAAGCAGAGGGGGCUUAGUGGUGGGGUGACUGCGUACCUUUUGUAUAAUGGGUCAGCGACUUAUAUUCUGUAGCAAGGUUAACCGUAUAGGGGAGCCGGAGGGAAACCGAGUCUUAACCGGGCGUUAAGUUGCAGGGUAUAGACCCGAAACCCGGUGAUCUAGCCAUGGGCAGGUUGAAGGUUGGGUAACACUAACUGGAGGACCGAACCGACUAAUGUUGAAAAAUUAGCGGAUGACCUGUGGCUGGGGGUGAAAGGCCAAUCAAACCGGGAGAUAGCUGGUUCUCCCCGAAAGCUAUUUAGGUAGCGCCUCGUGAACUCAUCUCCGGGGGUAGAGCACUGUUUCGGCUAGGGGGCCAUCCCGGCUUACCAACCCGAUGCAAACUGCGAAUACCGGAGAAUGUUAUCACGGGAGACACACGGCGGGUGCUAACGUCCGUCGUGAAGAGGGAAACAACCCAGACCGCCAGCUAAGGUCCCAAAGUCAUGGUUAAGUGGGAAACGAUGUGGGAAGGCCCAGACAGCCAGGAUGUUGGCUUAGAAGCAGCCAUCAUUUAAAGAAAGCGUAAUAGCUCACUGGUCGAGUCGGCCUGCGCGGAAGAUGUAACGGGGC